rnacentral:lncRNA from 1 species
CUUCAGUAUCAGUCCUUUAACAGAACCCUCCUCAUUCUAUUUUCCUAACCUCUUCCCACUGACAAUGAGUUUACAUUGAGAUUUAGUAAAUCUCUUUUCCAGUUCUCCUUUAAUAGCUUCCUUAAAAUUAGAUUUGGAUUUUAAUAAUAUUUUGAUUGAAGGAUUUUCACUUUUUCGUGUAAAUCUGCAUUCUGUUUCCUUAGUAGAAUGAGUGGAUCUUUUAUGGUAUUAUAAGCCCAACUAAUUUGUAUAAUCGGGGAUACACAUGCUUGAUUAAAUGCGUUAACCUUUUCUAACACAAGUGUUUGAGUUGAUUUUACGUUGGCUUUGGAUGAUUUGCCUAAUGUCUCCAAAUAUAUUUCAUUAGAAUCUUCUUCAAAAUGGUCCACAAUUUUUUAAUUCAUUUUGUUUUCCUUUGAAACCUCUGUUAGGGAUAGUAUCUUUUUCAAUUUUCUUUUUAUAAAUAGUCCCAGCGAUUCACCUCUUAAAUCCCUUUUAAUCGCAUUUUCCUGAAAAUGAUUCUCAGAAAUUCUAGGGUAUUUUCCUAAGGGGCCCUUUCGAUGACAAGCACUUUCCCAUUUUUCCUCCUUGAGGGAUCCUUUGAAAAAUGAUGAUAAAUUAUGUUAGGAGAAUCACAAAUGGCAACUGCACAACUGAGAGUUUCAUUUGUGCACAUACAUUAUACUUUUUUGGAAUGGCGAAUAGGUAUUAUUAUCGUAAUAAUAAUAAUCAAUUAGUAAUAAUAUAUAUAUUGCAAAAUGUAAAUAAGAUAUAAUAUCAUACUCCAAAGAUACCAAACUGCUCUCUCUUGGCCCACAACGUAGUCCCAGCUCUUAAAUUUGACCUUUUGUGAAUUUGGAUUUGUUACCCUUUAUAUUCUCUAUGACGUCAGAAUCUCCCUCUCUGGCCCAGCAGUCGGUACGAUCAAGGACUCCUGUAAGCAGGACCGGGCACCCCCAAACAUGAAUUCAAAUACGCGUGCAACAUGGGUCCAUUGAAAAAAAGCAAUGCAACGUGUUUGGUAAGAUAAUAAGUAAUAAGUUAUUACUAUUAGUUACUUUGUGGACACCAUCUUUAUUGUGUUUUGUAAUUCCAAUCAUGGCCACUAAGUGUUGUGCUCCGGGGUGGAGAACGGGCUAUGACAACGAACCACAACAGUCAGAUGUUACGAUCCAUCUGUGGCCAAACAAAGAGAGAACCCCCGGACUUGAUACCGCCUGGCUGAAAGCCAUUCCAAGAGAAACAGAUCUGAAGAAGACAGAUUAAGCACCAUCCAAAAGUAUAAAGCGGUGUUCCCUGCAUUUCAACGACUCUGAUUUCAUCUGUGAGUCUAAAAGUAGUCAGACCCUUGGCAAGACUCUAAAGAAGAGGUAAGACAGCUGCUCCUUUUGAUGCGUAUGCUUAUAACUGUCCUUCUUUUACAGGUACCUCAAACCAGAUGUAGUACCAUCCCUAUGGCCAAACUGCCUCAACAACCUCUCAACUCCUAAAGCGUCAUCAAGACCAACUCAAGGCGCGACCACGUCACGUAGGGUUAAACAGUUCCAUGAACUACAACAGCAUGCUGUGUUCCACAAAUCAUCAAUUGGAGCACUUAAGUACUACUCCAAAGAAGACAAUAGACUGGAGUUGAAAGACUGAGCCGAAUUUUCAGAGUUUGUCAGAAUUAUGUUGAAUAUCCUGAGAAGAACAAAAGUGACCUCUCUUUCUUGAGAGAUUUUGUCGACUUUCUCAUCGAGUGGCAAAACAGUAAAUCACCUGGCCUCACAGCACAAGCCUUCCUAGCAACAAAGCAGACGUGCCUUGCCGUAGCAGAUCUGGCAGAGUAUCUUCUCCUAUUUACUCCUCGCUAUGUUCCAGUCUGAUCCCAUAGAAAGAAAGUUCAUCCUGGUACAUACAACUAAGUAGAAAUAUCUACUACAUCAGCGUGAGACGAUCCUGGAAGCAGAGAAAAAGAUUCGUAUUCUGAGUCUUGUCAAAUUCUCAGGUAUGACUACUUCAGAAAUUAAAGCUCUCCAGGAUGAAGACCUGGUAAAAGCUGAGCUCAUUUUGACUAACUGGCAACUAGAUGACCUCCAGGAACUAGCUUCCAAGGGAGAGAGUAAUGCUCUCUACUUAGUUGCCGGGUACAUUGGUUUUUCUUGAAGAAAAAAAUCAGCUGUACAUCAUGCCAAGAGUUAAUGGUCAUCAGAGACACACCUCCGGACUCAAUAACCUUCGAUAACCCAACCAAUGAGCAUGUAGACCUGAAAGAGUUCAUCGACAUAAUGAGCAGGGGGGUUCUCGACUCCAUCCGACCUUACCUCUCCUGUCUUCAUGCUCACUCAAUGUUCUCUUACAUCACAGCUACUCCCGAAGAGAAAGAGUAUACUUGGCACACCAAAUCCUAGAGCUUCAUUUGUUGCCACAUUCAUUGACAGGAUGCAGGACAGUUUUAACUUUGACAUUAUCGCCGUUGUGGGAGUAAAGUGCGAGGAAGUCAGCUUUUUUUCAAAAAAUUUCUUUCGCUUUGUUUAAUGUCAUGGGUCCGAUUUUUAACAAAAAAGAAAAUGACAGCUAAGAAUUCAGAAGCUAAUCGAAAAAAAGCUAAAUUCCAAACAAAAUCUUCUGACUUGUAGACUUGGACCAACUUUGUACUUUUUGAUAGUGCCUUUUCAUUUUUAUAUGUUUUUUAUGUUUAUUCUGUUUAUUUCAUGAGGGAAUUUUAAGUUGGACCCCGAACUCGAAUUUUCAUAUAUUAAACGCUCAUAUCUCA